rnacentral:rRNA from 1 species
CUACGGGUCGCUGCAGUUAAGCGUCUUCUACAAUGCGCGAAAGCGUGAUAGAGUGAAUCAGAGUGUUUGUCAUUGACAAACUUUUGCUUAGUGUAAAAAACUAGGCGAAUAAGGACUGGGUAAGACGAGUGCCAGCCGCCGCGGUAAUACUCGCGGUCCAAGUCGCAGCCAUUUUUAUUGGGUCUAAAACAUCCGUAGCUUGUUUAAUAAGUUCUUUGUGAAAUCCUAUAUCCUAAGUAUAGGGCGCGCAGAGAAUACUAUUAAGCUAGAGACUGGAAGACGUGAAAAGUACGAUUUAGGUAGCGGUAAAAUGUUUUAAUCUUAAUCGGACUAACAAGAGCGAAGGCAUUUCACGAGGACAGUUCUGACAGUAAGGGAUGAAGGCCAGGGGCGCAAAACGGAUUAGAUACCCGUGUAGUC